rnacentral:rRNA from 1 species
AUUGAACGCUGGCGGCAGGCCUAACACAUGCAAGUCGAGCGGAUGAAGGGAGCUUGCUCCUGGAUUCAGCGGCGGACGGGUGAGUAAUGCCUAGGAAUCUGCCUGGUAGUGGGGGAUAACGUCCGGAAACGGGCGCUAAUACCGCAUACGUCCUGAGGGAGAAAGUGGGGGGUCUUCGGACCUCACGCUAUCAGAUGAGCCUAGGUCGGAUCAGCUAGUUGGUGGGGUAAAGGCCUACCAAGGCGACGAUCCGUAACUGGUCUGAGAGGAUGAUCAGUCACACUGGAACUGAGACACGGUCCAGACUCCUACGGGAGGCAGCAGUGGGGAAUAUUGGACAAUGGGCGAAAGCCUGAUCCAGCCAUGCCGCGUGUGUGAAGAAGGUCUUCGGAUUGUAAAGCACUUUAAGUUGGGAGGAAGGGCAGUAAGUUAAUACCUUGCUGUUUUGACGUUACCAACAGAAUAAGCACCGGCUAACUUCGUG